rnacentral:rRNA from 1 species
UACAGAGGGUGCAAGCGUUGAUCGGAAUUAUUGGGCGUAAAGGGCGCGUAGGUGGUUAAUCAGGUUUGAUGUGAAAGUCCCGGGCUCAACCUGGGGAGUGCGUCGAAGACGGGUUAACUAGAGUGAGGUAGAGGGUCGUGGAAUUUUCGGUGUAGCGGUAAAAUGCGUAGAUAUCGGAAGGAACACCAGAGGCGAAGGCGACGACCUAGGCCUUAACUGACACUGAGGCGCGAAGGCGUGGGGAGCGAACAGG